CUUUUCGGAGAGCCGCUUUGGGAUGGGCCUGUGGCCGAUUAGCUAGUUGGUGGGGUAAGAGCCUACCAAGGCGACGAUCGGUAGCUGGUCUGAGAGGACGAUCAGCCACACUGGGAUUGAGAACGGCCCAGACUCCUACGGGGGGCAGCAGUGAGGAAUUUUCCGCAAUGGAGGAAACUCUGACGGAGCAACGCCGCGUGCAGGAGGACGCUUUUCGGAGUGUAAACUGCUUUUCUGUGGGAAGAGAAUGGACGGUACCACAGGAAGAAGCCCCGGCUAACUUCGUGCCAGCAGCCGCGGUAAUACGAAGGGGGCUAGCGUUGCUCGGAAUGACUGGGCGUAAAGGGCGCGUAGGCGGUUUAGUGAGUUGGGCGUGAAAUUCCUGGGCUUAACCUGGGGGCUGCGUUCAAUACCACUAGGCUUGAGUGUGGAAGAGGGUCGUGGAAUUCCCAGUGUAGAGGUGAAAUUCGUAGAUAUUGGGAAGAACACCGGUGGCGAAGGCGGCGACCUGGUCCAUUACUGACGCUGAGGCGCGAAAGCGUGGGGAGCAAACAGGAUUAGAUACCCUGGUAGUCCACGCCGUAAACGAUGUGUGCUGGAUGUUGGGUAACCUAGUUACUCAGUGUCGUAGCUAACGCGGUAAGCACACCGCCUGGGGAGUACGGCCGCAAGGUUGAA
rnacentral:rRNA from 1 species